CCCAGGGAACGAUUUGGGCGCGUCUCGGACGGCCAGUACCUGAGGCGCCUGCGUCCGAGCGGCCAGAGCCUUAGUCAGGCUCCUUCGGAGGGCAAGCAUGGCACGGCUUCGAGCGCUGAGAAGGGCAGCGGCCGGUCAGCCUCAUCAAAUCUGAAGAAGGAAGUGGGAGAGAUGGAUCCAACGCUGGCCCAGCUGCAUAGGAGGGCAGUAGCUCUACGUGUAAACUCCAGAUGCUUGUACUUUGGUGACAUCACUGGCUGGAGGACUGAGAUCAGAGAUUCCCUUCAUUUUAUUCCCUG